AUGUUAACAACAAAACUUAACAGCCAUCAUGUUGGGCUUGACAUUUCAUCAAACACUUUGUGCGCGCCGGAGGUGCCCACCAGCAGCUCCCGGCAACCGUGGACGCGCCCGACUCGCCGCCAUGGCCGUGGCCGCGCCCGGCUCGCCGCGGUCGUGGACGAGCAUGAGCCGGACGUUGUUGAGAAUCUUGCCGCGCCCGUCACCUCUCGGAGAGCCUCUGCGCUGGCCGCCUCGUCUUCGCCGGCUCCGCCCGCGCUCUCGUCGUCGUCGCCGGCGACAGCGGAAACGUCACGCCGCCCCGCCGGCUCCACCACCACGUCUACGCCGGCGUACCUCGCCUUCGCGUCCGCGCCACCGUCCGCGCCUCCGCGUCUGCAUGCUGCGUUGUUUGAUGUGCUCAGAGCAUACCAAGCUCUGCGCUGA
rnacentral:rRNA from 1 species